rnacentral:rRNA from 1 species
UACGUAGGUGGCAAGCGAUACUCGGAAUCACUAGGCGUAAAGCGCAGGUAGGAGGUUUGGAAAGUCUCUUGUGAAAGCUCCCGGCCUAACUGGGAGAGGUCAAGGGAAACUACCAGGCUAGAGUGCGGUAGAGGUAGCUGGAAUUCCCGGUGUAGCGGUGAAAUGCGUAGAUAUCGGGAGGAAUACCUAUGGCGAAAGCGGCGCACUGGACCACAACUGACGCUGGAGGCGCGAAAGCUAGGGGAGCAAACAGG